rnacentral:rRNA from 1 species
CAACAGUUGGAAACGACUGCUAAUACCGCAUAAGCGCACAGCUUCGCAUGAAGCAGUGUGAAAAACUACCGGUGGUACAAGAUGGACCCGCGUCUGAUUAGCUGGUUGGUGAGGUAACGGCCCACCAAGGCGACGAUCAGUAGCCGGCCUGAGAGGGUGAACGGCCACAUUGGGACUGAGACACGGCCCAAACUCCUACGGGAGGCAGCAUG